rnacentral:sRNA from 1 species
CACCACAUGGCUAGAAGUCAAUCCAUCCUCUAGCGUAACCAUCCUCCAUGCUACUGUCCCUGGGGCACUGAGGCCCUCCUCAGUGACUUCCUCCACCUCAUCUUCCGCCAUCUCCAAGCCACCAGUGUCCAAUGGACUACUGAUAUGUCCCAAACUCAUCAUUUGUUUAUUCACCAAUUCAGAGCCCACCUUUUUUUCAGCACUGAGCUAGCCUCUCCUUGCUAGAAGCUUACGGUCGAAGGUCUCCAGCCAUCAGAAGAAGCACAUGGAGCGUUGCAUCCGUGUUGUGGUUAUUCAUCCAGCAUGCGUUGAGGAAGAAAAGUCAGAAGACCAGGACCUCCAGGGCCUCAAGGACAAACCCCUCAAGUUUAAAAAGGUGAAGAAAGAUAAGAAAGAAGAGAAAGAGGGCAAGCAUGAGCCCGUGCAGCCGUCAGCC